rnacentral:misc_RNA from 1 species
AGGAAUUUCAUCGAACAGUUUGAGAUUGUUUUCACACACUAAUUUGUUGGCUACCCUCCCUCGGCCCAAUUUGUAGGCUACCACACCUCCACUUCUAAAACGCCUUUCCUUUUUCCUCCCAAAAUUUUUUGCACAGGAUUUCACUUCUAUCAAAACCUUGGAAUGUGGAUCCAUAGCAUUACGGCAAUUGUAUUCCCCCUUUCUAAACUUCGUUGAUGCACUUAGCUUGGCCCACUCCAUAAAAAUUUUCCGGUUCCGCCCUGACUAGUGAUAACUCUCUUCGACAAAAAAUUUCAUUGUAAUUGUGAUUAAAAU